CCCAGAUUUUGACUAGAGUUUUACAGGAAUGAUUUUUAAUCUGUCUGAAUAUUAGAAUAACUGUGGGGGUUUGGGAGUAUUAAGAGUGCCAAUUUCGUCCACUUCCAGGCAAAAUGAAGUGACAAGAACUGGAUUUACCUUCCUGCUGAAACAACCAAAUGAUGGACAAAAUAUAUGGAACAAUGGUGCACAUUACACUGGACAUCAGGCAAAAAGGAGAGUGACCUCUCUGAGAUGGUGAACAUAUAGGAUAAGCCCUAUAAUUGCCCCAGUGUAUUGCCUUAAGCAUUUGCAGUUUACAACGUAGAGAAGAGAAACUCAAUCAGAGUUUAAGGGACUACUUGAGUUGAGGAGAUGCUGAGAGUUCAAGGACACCAAGGACAGAGUCCUGAAGAGGAGAAAGCCACACAGAAGAGGAUCUCUAGAGAUCAAGUAGUCAGCUGAGUAUGUUCCUGAUACUUGGUAACUAUACCAACAAUUCUGGAGCAAUUGGCAGAAUACUGAAGUGUUGAGGAUUACAAGCAAAUAAUUACAUUUAUUUUAAUUAAACUCCACUUGAUUCCCACAUGAUUCUCACAUGACUCACAGCAAAAACAUAUAAAUCCAGGGGUGUUAAGACUAAAAUCAAGAGAUCAGGAACCAUACAAAGCAAGUCGAUUUUGUUCGUGUGACCAAAAAGGCAUUACGGAAGACAAUACUUAUGUUCAAGUGUGGCUCUGAGUCGUGUGGCAGGAGGGGCAAAAUGGACAGCGUGCUCUCGCUACUCCUGAGGAGAAACACCAUUCCUUAUAGCGACUCUUCAGAAAGGUAUUUUUCAUGUGGUCUCAACAUUUUGAUAAGCACCUAUGGCAGCAGACUUUAUGCACAAAUAGCUUAAAAUUAUUCAUUUUAAUUGUUAUAAGAUUGAUGUAACAUGUUUCCAGGUCUCAGUUGUUUUAAGGUUCAGUUUCUCAAUUAUGAACCGAUUUAGUGAUGGAAUACUCCUCAUGGACUUUUAUGGGUAAUCACAAAUCAUAUGCCAAUUUUUUGGUUCUGGACUCAGGCACAUGCUACAAAUGACAGACCAAAGGUGCCAAUCCAAAAUGUUUUCUUAAAAUAAGUAAAGCACAGAGGAAAGGAGCUGGAUGUAUGAAAAUGUUUCAGAGAGCAACAGGUCUCAGAAGGAGGACAUA